UACGUAGGCAGCGAGCGUUGUUCGGAGUUACUGGGCGUAAAGAGUGCGUAGGCGGUUUUCUAAGUUUGGUGUGAAAUCUCCCGCUUAACUGGGAGGGUGCGCCGAAGACUGGAAGGCUUGAGUAUGGGAGAGGUAAGCGGAAUUCCUGGUGUAGCGGUGAAAUGCGUAGAUAUGCGGAGGAACACCGAUGGCGAAGGCAAUCCCCUGGGCCUGCACUGACGCUCAUGCACGAAAGCGUGGGGAGCAAACAGG
rnacentral:rRNA from 1 species